rnacentral:rRNA from 1 species
UACGUAGGGGGCUAGCGUUGUCCGGAAUCAUUGGGCGUAAAGAGCGUGUAGGCGGUCCGGUAAGUCCGCUGUGAAAGUCGGGGGCUCAACCCUCGAAUGCCGGUGGAUACUGUCGGGCUAGAGUGCUGGAAGAGGCGAGUGGAAUUCCUGGUGUAGCGGUGAAAUGCGCAGAUAUCAGGAAGAACACCCGUGGCUAAGGCGGCUCUCUAGUACGGUACUGACGCUGAGACGCGAAAGCGUGGGGAGCAAACAGG